rnacentral:misc_RNA from 1 species
CACUGUCAUUCCCCUCCGGAUAUCCCCACACGGCCGCCUCACCUCACUAUUUCCUUUCUGUUGCAAGCAUCGAUGUCAGGCGAGACUCAGCAGCAGCAGCCGCAAGGCAUGACACCCCUGAAGGUGUUCUUCAUCCUUGGCGGGCCCGGCUCUGGCAAGGGCACGAACUGUGCGCGGCUUGUGGAGGACUUUGGCUACACCCAUUUCAGCGCCGGCGAGCUGCUGCGCGAGGCGGCGCGCUCUGGCACAGGCAAUCUGGCCAAGAUCGGCGAUAUCAUCCGCUCUGGAAACAUUGUGCCGAGCGAGAUCACGGUAGAGCUCCUUCGGCAGGCCAUCGCCGAUCACCCGAACUCCGUCGGCUACGUGAUUGACGGCUUCCCGCGCAAGGAGGACCAGGCGCGCAUGUUUGAGGAGGGCAUCGCCAAGCCCACCGGCAUCCUCUACUACGACUGCAGCGAGGCCACCAUGGAGGAACGCCUGCUCUCUCGCGGCGCCAACAGCGGCGAGAAGCGCGACGACGACGCUGCAGAGACGAUUCGGCACCGCUUCCGCGUCAACGUGCAGGAGUGCAUGCCGGUCGUGGAGGCCUAUAAGGCGAAUGGCCGCUGCCACGUCAUUGACGCGAACCGCGACCGCGACACCGUCUACGCCGACACGAAAAAGGUAUUCCUCGAGAUGGGCGAGAAACCUUUGAAGGCAUAGGUGUAUGGAGAGGAAGAGAGCUGAGCUGGCGCUGGGAGCACCGGCGACACAUGCGAGACGAAGAAGCAAUGAACUCAUCGCCACGUGCGCGAGCCUCUGCCAUUCUCUCCCCCUAUAUUGCCUUGAUGGCGCCGUGUGCAACGUGGGGAGGGGGGUUCGUGCGCUCGGCGCUGCCAACGUCGGCACUCCUCCCGCACCGCGCCGCGUUGUGUUUUUUUUUUUGUUUUUCGUUUUCAUGUGUGGGUUUUUUUUUGCUUGAUACCCUUCGCCAUCCUUUCGCCUUUCUUUACUCGCAGGUGGCAUGCGUUGCCUCCGUGGCGCCACC